GACGAACGCUGGCGGCGUGCCUAAUACAUGCAAGUUGAGCGCUGAAGGUUGGUACUUGUACCAACUGGAUGAGCAGCGAACGGGUGAGUAACGCGUGGGGAAUCUGCCUUUGAGCGGGGGACAACAUUUGGAAACGAAUGCUAAUACCGCAUAAAAACUUUAAACACAAGUUUUAAGUUUGAAAGAUGCAAUUGCAUCACUCAAAGAUGAUCCCGCGUUGUAUUAGCUAGUUGGUGAGGUAAAGGCUCACCAAGGCGAUGAUACAUAGCCGACCUGAGAGGGUGAUCGGCCACAUUGGGACUGAGGCACGGCCCAAACUCCUACGGGAGGCAGCAGGAGGGAAUCUUCGGCAAUGGACGAAAGUCUGACCGAGCAACGCCGCGUGAGUGAAGAAGGUUUUCGGAUCGUAAAACUCUGUUGGUAGAGAAGAACGUUGGUGAGAGUGGAAAGCUCAUCAAGUGACGGUAACUACCCAGAAAGGGACGGCUAACUACGUG
rnacentral:rRNA from 1 species